rnacentral:rRNA from 1 species
GACGAACGCUGGCGGCGUGCUUAACACAUGCAAGUCGAACGGAACGGCCCUGCUUUUGUGGGGUGCUCGAGUGGCGAACGGGUGAGUAACACGUGAGUAACCUGCCCUUGACUUUGGGAUAACUUCAGGAAACUGGGGCUAAUACCGGAUAGGAGCUCCUGCUGCAUGGUGGGGGUUGGACAGUUUCGGCGGUUGGGGAUUGACUCGCGUUUUUUCAGCUUGUUGGUGGGGUAGUGGCUUACCAAGGCUUUGAGGGGUAGCCGGCCUGAGAGGAUAACCGGCCACAUCAGGACAAAUAUACGACCGAGAUUACUUCGGGGGCAAGGAAGGGGUAAUACUGCACAGGUUGCGGACGCCAGAUAUAUCUAUCCCGGGGCGCAGAUAUCGGCCUUCAGUUGUUAACACGCUUUGGCCUGUCAAGAAGCCGGCGUGACGGUAAUGGGUAAAGAAGCACCGGCUAACUACGUG